AAAGCUUGGAUUUAGAAACAAGAACUAGGUGAUUUGGUUGGAUUUUGAGAGAGUUGUGGGAAUUUUGGUGAGGAGGAGUUUGAGAGAGUAUGAGUGAAAAAUGAGAGGAGGGGAGAGAUGAGGGAGAUGAAUUCGUGGGUUGUGGGUAGGUUUAGGGUCGUCAGGUUCGGUCUAGGGUGGUUAGGAUCGGUUCACUUGAAUUAAACCGGGGUUUAGAGUUAGAAAACUUACCUGGAUCGGCUCGGGAGCGACCUCGGAUAGUCGCUGUGGGACGUCGCUCCGACUAAUUUUUGUGUGUUCCAAAACGUCACAAAUGCGAGCGACUUCGAGGUGUCGCUGUGGUGACGUCGCUUUGGGCUGGAGCGACUUCGUGUUGUCGCUUUUGGAGGUCGCUCUGAGAGCGUUUUCGAGCACCAAACGUUAAAAACGCGAGCGACUUCGGGGUGUCGCUCUCGGGACCUCGCUAUGGAGCUAGAGCGACUUCAUGUGCUCGCUCUGUGAGGUCACUCCGAGAGUGAUUUUCUUGAUCCGAUGCCAAAAACGCGAGCGACCGUGCGUUGUCGCUCCCGUUACGUCGCUCCCAGCUGGAGCGAUCCUUCACACUCGCUGCUGAUCCUCGCUCCCACGAUCGAUUUUCUGCUCAAACCGGAUCGACCAGGCACCUGCACACAACUUCAAAUCUCCAAUUCUUUUUUUUUUUUUUAGAAAUAUGAUGAAAAUGAAAAUACUAAUGCAAUAUGUACAAGGAUACGCAUGGGACUUCCUCCCAAGUGAAUAAAUACAUACAAUAAUAGUUAAAUACUUUAUAUUCGUUAUAUAUGGCAAUUGUAUCGAAUAUAGCCCAUUAAUUUACAACUCUCUUAUGCCAAUUAAAGGAGGUGUCUUGUCGAAUACCUCUUCCAUGCAUGCAUUGAUAAGUCUACCAAACGUAACAGUUUUAUGAGGAUAGCUAAUGCUAUGAUUUACACCAAUUAGCAAGUUGAUUUGACAAGAAGUAGAAGUAAAAAAUGUAUUUAAUAAAGUUUAAAAAUUAG
rnacentral:lncRNA from 1 species